GACGAACGCUGGCGGCGUGCUUAACACAUGCAAGUCGAACGGAAAGGCCUGCUUUCCCUUGUGGAUUGCGGGUACUCGAGUGGCGAACGGGUGAGUAACACGUGAGUGAUCUGCCCCCAACUUGGGUAUAAGCCUGGGAAACUGGGUCUAAUUCCCGAUAGGACUGCAGGGUGGUGCCUGUGGUGGAAAACGAUUUUCUAGUGGUUGGGGAUGAGCUCGCGGCCUAUCAGCUUGUUGGUGGGGUAAUGGCCUACCAAGGCGGCGACGGGUAGCCGGCCUGAGAGGGUGGACGGCCACAUUGGGACUGAGAUACGGCCCAGACUCCGACGGGAGGCAGCAGUGGGGGAUAAUGCACAAUGGGCGGAAGCCUGAUGCAGCGACGCCGCGUGGGGGAUGACGGCCUUCGGGUUGUAAACUCCUUUCGACCGCGAGGAAGCCACCUGGUUGGAAGGGUGGUGACGGUAGUGGUAGAAGAAGCACCGGCUAACUACGUG
rnacentral:rRNA from 1 species